GCCAAUGGGGGAAGGCAGGAUUCCAAGUCGCGUUGUCCCUCAGCAGCUCUCGCGAGAUCGCCGCCUUGCCCAGCCGGCUCGGGUGGGUGCUGCUGGGGCGGGGUGAGAGGGUCCCGGAGGGAGUCGCCAUGUUCCUGGCGGUCGGAGCUCGGCGCCUGAGGCGGGCGCCCUCAUUGCUCCAGCGAUUUCAGAGUACAUUGGUAAUCACUGAACACACAAAUGAGUCUCUUACACCCAUUACGCUAAAUGCUAUCACUGCAGCAAAGCGGCUGGGAGGUGAAGUAUCUUGUUUAGUAGCUGGUACCAACUGUGACAAGGUAGCAGAAGAGCUCAGCAAAGUACAGGGCAUUGCAAGAGUUCUAGUGGCUCAGCAUGAUGUAUACAAAGGAUUUCUACCAGAGGAGCUGACUCCAUUGAUUUUGGCAACUCAAAAACAGUUUAAUUACACACACAUCUGUGCUGGAGCAUCUGCCUUUGGGAAGAAUCUUCUUCCCAGAGUGGCAGCUAAACUUGAUGUUGCCCCUGUUUCUGACAUCAUUGAAAUUAAAUCACCUGACACUUUUGUGAGAACUAUUUAUGCAGGAAAUGCUCUGUGUACUGUGAAGUGUGAUGAAAAAGUAAAAGUGUUUUCUGUACGGGGAACCUCUUUUGAAGCUGCACCAGUGAGUGGUGGUAGUGCUAGUGUAGAAAAAGUAACGGCUCCAUCACCAGUUGGUCAGUCUGAAUGGAUUGAGCAGAAGCUAACAAAAAGUGAUCGGCCAGAGCUCACGAGUGCAAAGGUGGUCGUAUCAGGUGGGCGAGGUUUGAAGAGUGGUGACAACUUCAAACUGUUAUAUGACCUUGCAGAUCAGUUGCAUGCUGCAGUUGGUGCUUCCCGUGCAGCAGUUGAUGCUGGCUUUGUUCCCAACGACAUGCAGGUUGGACAGACAGGCAAAAUAGUAGCACCAGAACUUUAUAUUGCUGUUGGAAUAUCUGGAGCAAUCCAGCAUUUAGCAGGGAUGAAAGACAGCAAGACCAUAGUUGCUAUUAAUAAGGAUCCAGAAGCGCCGAUUUUCCAGGUUGCGGACUACGGAUUGGUAGCAGAUUUAUUUAAGGGAUUGGCCCGAGGACCUCUGAAGCUAGAAAUGUCAUGGAUUCAUGUUGGCUCUCAGAACUCAUGCAUUUUAUGAAUAUUCAAUUCAUUCAAACCACGCAAGGAGCAAGAUAUCCAGCCAGUGAUUGUUCUGAGGGCGCCAUUAAAGCUCUAGAAUGUCUCGUCCUUUUCUACCACUGUGGAGAACUAUGAAUCUGGGACCCUAUUCAUCUUUUGCUCUUUGGAUUCCAAAGAUUUGUACUUUUCAUUGAUCACCGAGGCAGUUUGCUGAAGGUGAAUAACUGGCUUAAUCUGGAGCACAUCAAAGCUCUCUUGGUUCUUCUUGUUGUAAAUGUUCACUCUAUGUUCCAGCUCAGGACUGGCUUUGGUGGACCCUGCUGGACUAGGCAAUUUAAGGUUGACUGGAUCUAAGCCUUUUUGUGUCAAGCAAGAAUCCUCUGACAAUGAUGAUAACAGUUCCUGAACUACUGCAUUGCUGACCCUAUGCCUUGCAGAAUCCAUUUGAUCAUGUUUUGCAUUCCCAGCCCUGUCUAAGGGGCAGUAUUCAGAGGGUUCCUCCCGGGUGGUACUGCAGUCUGUGGAAGAGCCAAAGGUUUGGCUGCUGUCACUCUGGGCUCUGGUUACAGAGCUGUCUGUAGAUCUGGAGGCACUGCCUGAUGUGACGCUAACAGAAGUUCCAUUACUUCCUAUCUUUAUGGGCACUUCCACUGUGAACAGGUCAGAAGAUAUGUUGGGGUGGUGCACAUCAAUGGCUGUUGUGGUAAUGACACAAAUACCAGCUUCAGGAACUCCGCUGUCUCAGGACCUUCAGGAGAAGAGGAAAUGGAAGGAAGGAGUAAAGAAGGUCCUUGUCCUAUGGGAGGAGGAGGGCAUCACCCAGAGAGUGCUGACUGACCCCUGCCCUGGAAUAGUAUCGUGGACACUUCUUGUUCUGGCAUUGUACUGGUGUGAGCGUCAACCUCUGGGAAUUGAUCUGUAGGCCUAUGAACAAGCGUAUUGUGUCCUUGGUGGCUCAAAGAGCUCCCUGAAGCGACCAGUCUCUGAGAAGACAAUCGUCCAGAUUCCCAGUGACCUAAGAGCGGCCCUGGAAUCCUUUGAGUGGAGAGAGGCGUUGGUCUUCUCGGCAAAGAGCUUCACACCCUCAAAGGGGAAGUCCCCCACCAUAGGCUGCACCUCCUUCAGGAAUCUCGAGAGGUGGAGCUACAACACCCAUCUCAUUAUAACAGCUGUGAAAUGGUUCUGGCAGCUGUGUCGGCAGCGUCAAGGGCUGACUGCAAAGAUGUUUUUGCUACCGGUUGCCCGUGCUGGAUGAUGGCCUAGAAGGAAUCCUGGGAACUCUCCAGCAGCUUAUCAGUAAAGUCGUAUAAUUUAUUGUAA